CAGCAGAGGAUUGGGUACCGGUGUACAGAUCACCAAUAGGAAAGAGGCAGGAAGCCCCUCCCUCGUCGAAGCAUAGUGGACUUUACACCUGACUCUGACAUAGAGAGCAGCACCUGACACUUGCUGAGACUACAGCCAUGGCACUAUUCACAAGGACGAUCGGCCUCCUGCGCCAAACAGUGAACCCUCGCAUCACCAACAAGGCAUGGGCGUCCCGGAAGACGAGCAAUAAUUCACUUUCGGCAAUGGACCAAGCCAUUGGACUGGUUGCAUUUUUCUCAGUAUUCUUGAUUCCAUCUGGAUGGGUCCUGGCAAACAUGGACCACUACAAAGGCAGACCGGAACAGUAAACAGUUUGCCUGAACUCUUUGGACAAGGCUAUGGACUGAAGGUGGACCAGAUAUCAGCACAAAGUUGUGUCACCUGCUGAGUUGGUGGAACUACUCCAUGGAGUGUGCUGUCUUUACUGCUUAUUUUUAUACUUAAUAAAACUAUUUUAAACCUG